CUUAUUUAUUUAUUUUUUUUCCUUUGUGUAUGUGUAUCAGCAAACGUUGUAAAGGAAUCAAAUUGUGUCUACUCUUUGUUAACUUAAGAUUUUUUUAAACAAGAAACAUGAAGUACCUGAUCGGCUUCUACUUUACUUUUUCAUUUAUAUCUUUAACAGGCGGUGAUUGGUCUGAAUGGAGUACUUGCUCAGCAACCUGCCAGCUUAGUUCUCUGGUAUCUCCAUUUCAAAAAAGAGAAUGUAAUGGUGGUAAUUGUUAUGGAUACAGUUCUCAAGUAUGCAAUUUUAAAGUACCUUGCCCAG